rnacentral:rRNA from 1 species
UAGGGAAUCUUCGGCAAUGGGGGGAACCCUGACCGAGCAACGCCGCGUGAGUGAAGAAGGUGUUCGGAUCGUAAAGCUCUGUUGUUAAGGAAGAACGAGUGUGAGAAUGGAAAGUUCAUGCUGUGACGGUACUUAACCAGAAAGGGACGGCUAACUACGUGCCAGCAGCCGCGGUAAUACGUAGGUCCCGAGCGUUGUCCGGAUUUAUUGGGCGUAAAGCGAGCGCAGGCGGUUAGAAAAGUCUGAAGUUAAAGGCAGUGGCUCAACCAUUGUAGGCUUUGGAAACUGUUUAACUUGAGUGCAGAAGGGGAGAGUGGAAUUCCAUGUGUAGCGGUGAAAUGCGUAGAUAUAUGGAGGAACACCGGUGGCGAAAGCGGCUCUCUGGUCUGUAACUGACGCUGAGGCUCGAAAGCGUGGGGAGCGAACAGG